ACUCAACACUAAUUCUUAUAAGAAGGGUGAGUUAAAGCUGUUAAAACGAGCCGUCUUUGAGCGGAUGUUUGACCAGUUUGUUAGCCCUAAACUUUCUUUUAGGAGUUU
rnacentral:sRNA from 1 species